rnacentral:ncRNA from 1 species
AAGUAAAUAUGGCAAACUUAUAGAAAUAUAAGGACGCAAAACUAGAAGUCUAGAGGUAUAAAGCUGAAAAACACUAUUUUCAGUUGAGAGAUUCACAUAAGCAUAAGUCUCUAAUACUAUGAUAGUUCGGUUGCAUUA